rnacentral:rRNA from 1 species
CCCCUUGAAGGGGAACCCCGGGAACUGGGGCUAAUCCCCGAUAGACGAAGAAUCCUGGAAUGGGUUUUCGUCCAAAAGGCAUCAAGGUCAUGCUUCUUGAUAUCGCUCAAGGAUGAGGCCGCGGCCGAUCAGGCUGUUGGUGAGGUAAUGGCUCACCAAACCUAUAACCGGUACGGGCCGUGGGAGCGGGAGCCCGGAGAUGGGAACUGAGACAAGGUCCCAGGCCCUACGGGGCGCAGCAGUUGCGAAAACUCCGCAAUGCACGAAAGUGUGACGGGGCUACCCCGAGUGCUGUCCGCUGAGGAUGGCUUUUCCCCAGUGUAACAAGCUGGGGGUAAUAAGGAGAGGGCAAGUCUGGUGUCAGCCGCCGCGGUAAUACCAGCUCUCCGAGCGGUAGGGAUGUUUAUUGGGCUUAAAGCGUCCGUAGCUGGCUUUUCAAGUCUCUCGUUAAAUCCAGCGAUUCAAUCGUUGGACUGCGGGAGAUACUGUUGAGCUUGGGGGCGGGAGAAGCCGACGGUAUUUCCGGUGUAGGGGUAAAAUCCUUUAAUCCCGGGAGGACCACCAGUGGCGUAGGCGGUCGGCUAGCACGCGCCCGACGGUGAGGGACGAAAGCUGGGGGAGCAAACCGGAUUAGAUACCCGGAUAGUCCCAGCUGUAAACGAUGCGGGCUAGGUGUUGGAGCGGCCACGAGCCGCUUCAGUGCCGCAGGAAAACCAUUAAGCCCGCCGCCUGGGGAGUACGGCCGCAAGGCUGAAACUUAAAGGAAUUGGCGGGGGAGCAC